AGGUGGGCCUCAGUGAGGGUCCGGUGCCAACAGGACUGCGGUAGCUGUACAAUAAUACAUUUCUUGCAGGGGUUUGGACUCAAGCAGGGAUUUGGUUCCUCAGGCUGUGGGGCUGCUGCUGCUGUUUCUGCAUCUGAGGCUGUGGCCCAGAGCCUGCAGGGCAGGGCAAGCAUUCAGGGAGGAUGACAGAUUGACAGAUGUCAAAUGUAGACAGCAAGACCAAGUGGCCCCCGCAGCUGCAGGGGACCCACAAGGACAACCGAAACCACUUUGAUCUCUGUAGGAGAAGCUGGAGAAGGGGCUGCAGCAGGACCCGAAAGUGGCCACCAGCAGCUGCCCCUCACUGACCAGGCUGCCUUGGAACUACUCAGAGAAGACAAUUCUGAGGAAUGACGGCCAGCUCAGCUGAGACGACCCAACAUAAACCCACCCAACAGGUAUCCAGGACGCAACCUAACAGAGCAACUCAGCAGGACCUGCAAGGUGGAGAAAGGUGUUUGAGUUCCUCCUACAGAAGACCUUGGAAGAGAUUCACACACAAAAGAAAGCAAGCAAAAUAAUACUUUCUGCUAUUCAAUUUUGCAUUCCAAAACCCAAAUUUUGUAAUAUGCAGCUUUAUAUGCCAGACUUGGAUCAAAAAAGACAUGAGAGAUAAAGAAAAAAGUAAGAUACGGACACAAAUCCAAACUAUGAAUAUUAACGUCCAAUAUUGAUGGAUUAAGCAGCACAAAAGACAGAGAAUUAUCGGAUGGGAUAAGAAAAACGAGAUCCAGCUAUAUGUUUGCUACAGGAGACACACUUUAGAUUCAGAUAUAAAUGGGCUGAAAGUAAAAGGAUGGAAAAGCAAUAAUCAUGCAAACAACAACUCUGAGAACACUGGAGUGGCCAUAGGACAUCAGACAAAACAAACUUUAAACAAACUUAGUUAUCCAAGACAAGCAGGGACACUAUCAUAACAAAAGGGUCAAUUCAUGAAGAAGAUAUAACAAUUACAAACAUGUUUCUAACAGAGCCCCCAAAAUAUGUGAAACAGAACUGAUUUAAAUGAUGAGCGAAAUAAACCAAUAAAAAUAGUUGGAAACA
rnacentral:lncRNA from 13 species